rnacentral:sRNA from 22 species
GUUGAGUCCCCGGCUCGCUGACUGACCUGUGCACAUCCGUGUGCUUGUUCAUUCAGCGUUUUGUCAGACUCAACCAGACCUCAGCCCUUCGGGGCUACGUUAGGGGUGAAUACAUAGGCACUCCGGGAUACUUCUCCAGUCCCGGACUCUGCG